GGAAGGUCCGGGCGNUACUCCGGAAUUANNGGGNNUAAAGGGAGCGCAGGCCGUGGGCUAAGCGNGCCGUGAAAUUCUGUCGCUCAACGGCAGACGUGCGGCGCGAACUGGUCCACUUNGAGUACGCGGGACGUUGGCGGAAUUCGUGGUGUAGCGGUGAAAUGCUUAGAUAUCACGAAGAACUCCGAUNGCGAAGGCAGCUGACGGUAGCGCAACUGACGCUGAGGCUCGAAAGCGCGGGUAUCGAACAGGAUUAGAUACCCUGGUAGUCCGCGCGGUAAACGAUGGAUGCCCGCUGUUUGCCUGUUUUUGGUAAGCGGCCAAGCGAAAGUGUUAAGCAUCCCACCUGGGGAGU
rnacentral:rRNA from 1 species